rnacentral:rRNA from 1 species
AUUGAACGCUGGCGGCAUGCCUUACACAUGCAAGUCGAACGGCAGCGCGGGGCAACCUGGCGGCGAGUGGCGAACGGGUGAGUAACAUAUCGGAACAUACCCUAGAGUGGGGAUAACGUAGCGAAAGUUACGCUAAUACCGCAUACGCACUAAGGUGGAAAGUGGGGGAUCUUCGGACCUCAUGCUCAUGGAGUGGCCGAUAUCUGAUUAGCUAGUUGGUGAGGUAAAGGCUCACCAAGGCGACGAUCAGUAGCUGGUUUGAGAGAACGACCAGCCACACUGGAACUGAGACACGGUCCAGACUCCUACGGGAGGCAGCAGUGGGGAAUAUUGGACAAUGGGGGCAACCCUGAUCCAGCCAUGCCGCGUGUGUGAAGAAGGCCU